UCACCAACAUUUGUCGCAACUUUCAAACAUGAAGCCUUGCAUGAAUAGUCUCUACAGGAACAUCAUCUAGGUGGCAGCCAAGUAACCAUUGGCCACUCAAAUGAACAGUAACUAUACCCUCCAAUGGUAGGCCAUCCAUGCAAGAGUCUCUACACACAAACAAACAGCAGUUGUGGAAACAGUUCCUCAGCUACAAAAGGAUG
rnacentral:lncRNA from 1 species